rnacentral:lncRNA from 1 species
GCAGAAGGCAGGUACCAUCUCUCCUCCAGGCACUCUGCUUCAGCCGCAGACCACAGAGCCUCUGCUACAUUUGCCUUUAAAGCCAGGAGACUCCAGCAUGCUAAUGCCCCUCGGAGUGGAUGGCUGUGGCCUGAGUUCUGUGUCUGUGAAGUUGAUCAAUGGAAGGGCCACGUCCACAAGAUCCUGGUUUCAUCGUGACAUCCCAGACCCACCAGUGCUUCCACAUCUGCCCAACAGUCCUCCUGUCGGGGAGGUAGAGGAAGGCGGAUUGGAACCUUACUAGAGCCAAUUUAACUCAAUGUUAAUUUAGUUAUUAAAUGUUAAUAAACGUUAGGACAUUAUUUUUAAUAUCAAUACAUAGCUAAAUUAGAGAAGAUAGUAUAAAAUUCACAUGAACUUUGGAG